UUUUAUUUAGAUAAAAUGGAAAGAAAAUAACCUUUCUAGGGUUGAUUUCGGACCAAAACAAUGGUCCUUAACUACCACCAUUAAGUCUUAAAGAAUGACUUGGACUAGAGAAAGCCAAGGUUGAUUCGCGGGGGGAAAAGGUCAAAGAUCUGAAGAAGGAAGUCGAGGCUAAGAAACAUGAGGCCCUUUGAAAAGUUUGUUUGAGGGUGCUUGACAGAGAUGAAAUGUUGCUUGACCAUUAAGUCCGAGAGAAAUCUUUGGAAGAUUUUGUUAGGGAAUUGUUUUAUGCUUUCGUUAAAAUGACUUGAGGGUAUUCCAGUUUUAUUUAAGAUAUGCCUUUUAAAGAACCUGAAGACAUUGUUGCUGAUUAUUUUAGCUAAAGGUUCAGCUUGAUCCAUUUUGUGAAGUGAGGGAGGUCAUCUUUACUGGAGGCAUCAGGUGGAGGUUACCAUAUCUUUGUCACACCUUUUGAAGUAUUGUUUGGAAUUUUCUUCAAUUUGUUGGCCAAAAAUGUCCUACUUGGAUAAUAUCCUUGCCUCAACUUUUAUCCACAUAAUACUUUGUGUACUUCUUUGACUAUGUACUUAGUUUCUGAUAGUUUGAGAUACUUGUGUAAAGGUGUCUGAAAAACCUUUUUGGUAUAGCAUACUUUCAAUGUUUGAAUGCUAACAUGAUUGUUGGUGUACCGUUGAUGCUUCUUUGGGGUCUGAAGGAAGUUCAUAGUAUGGAUAUAUCAAAUGAUUUUUGUCAUCCAACCGGACUUGGAAUCGAUAAUCUUAGUGGAAUUGAUGUGUGUGGUCAAUGUAAGGGCGCUUGGGGUGGUAGCAUUUUCUGUAUAAUUGAUUUGGUGUCUCUUGUUGAUGUGGUGUUGGCCAACUUGUAGAGUAUGUUUGCUUGUUUUUUUUCUCUCGUGGAAUUUGUGUGAUUUCCACUAAUUAGAAUUUUUUAUUUUAUUUUCUCCUUUACAACAAUCAAGUAUUUUUGCAAGAGUGUUUUUCUAGGCUUAA